UUUUACCUGCCAAUAUAAACCUUCUAAAACCUAAAUCCCUCAUUCGAUAAUCCUGGAUACAAUUCUAAACCCUAGCCUCCCACCCCUUCAUUGCAAACCUUCUGGUUCCUCAUUCGAUAAUCCUGGAUACAAUUCUAAACCCUAGCCUCCCACCCCUUCAUUGCAAACCUUCUGGUUCGUCAUCCUCGUGGUCUCUAUUUCUUUUUUUCUUUAUCAAAGAUAAAGAUUGAAGAUAAUCAAAUCACAGGUUAGGGUUCGUUAAUCAAUACAGUCGACACGAUGACACCAUCCUCAACGUUGCUAUGAAUCUUUAGACGGUGUACACAGAUUAUAGUAAAAGGGGAGUGUAAAUUGGAAGUAAGGAUCUGUGAUCGCGAUUGAUAUGCCGAUGGAUGUUAAAUCAGGUGUUGGAUGCUUCACUCGGUUUACAUGUCGGUUGUUAACAAUUAAUGAGGAUAUACAUAAGUCGCACCACUUGCAGAGGACAUGUACUCUCGUGUUGAAGUCAUGGUUACACGUAUGUGUACUGAGGUUAUAGUCGGAGCUACCCUUAUUGCCACUUACAGAUCAAUAAAGCAAUAGAUCCACUUGCAGAUCAGUAAUGCAACUCAAUUCCAACCACAGCCCUUUAGACAAAUGUAUUUACUUUAGGAGACCGUCGAUCAUGUUUUAGUUAUUUCAUGAACGCUAAAGCAAUCUGGUGGAAACUAUGCACAUGGCUGAACGUACCCGGUGUUGCCUCAUGCCAUUCGGUAAAAGAUCUAUGCCAUUCGGUAAAAGAUCUGAUGUUGAAACUAGAACUGCAAGACCUUAAGAAGAGAAAGAAGGCCAUAAGGUCAAACAAUCAUUGGAGGAACUCAAGUGUAAAAUGGACAGUUAUGAAGUUAGCUGUUUAGUUCUCUCAUAUCGCGUUCUUUUGCAUUUACUUACUCGCUGACCUGACAUCUAAUAUAACUCCAAACUGUUUUUACCCUGCUAAUGAUGAAAACACCGCAAUAGUUUUACCUUUGUGUAGCAGCUUCGACCCAUUUACUUAUAAAUAGGAUGGGUUGAUUCAGGAUAACUUUGAUCAAAUGGGUUAAAAAUCCGAAACUAAGGGACAUGCCUAACGAGGCACUGGAAGAGGAGUUCCGGGCUCUAAUGUCCGACAAAUAUGGAGAAACUGAGUACCAAGAAUCUAUGCAAAGCCAAAUUGACAUUAUUAAGAGGGAACUCAAUUUACUAAGGGAAAGGUUUUGGUAACUCGAAGGAUAUGCAUCUUUAAAGGGACUCGACUAUCUUUAAAUUGUAUAUCCACUGUAUCACUAAUUUAUGUAACAUGAGACUUUGUACUUUAUUUUAUUUAUAUACUUGAUAUUUAUCUUAA